rnacentral:rRNA from 1 species
GACGAACGCUGGCGGCGUGCUUAACACAUGCAAGUCGAACGGUAAGGCCCUUCGGGGUACACGAGUGGCGAACGGGUGAGUAACACGUGGGUGAUCUGCCCUGCACUUCGGGAUAAGCCUGGGAAACUGGGUCUAAUACCGGAUAGGACUCCGGACUGCAUGGUCUGGGGUGGAAAGCUUUUGCGGUGUGGGAUGGGCCCGCGGCCUAUCAGCUUGUUGGUGGGGUGAUGGCCUACCAAGGCGACGACGGGUAGCCGGCCUGAGAGGGUGACCGGCCACACUGGGACUGAGCUACGGCCCAGACGCCUACGGGAGGCAGCAGUGGGGAAUAUUGCACAAUGGGCGCAGGCCUGAUGCAGCGACGCCGCGUGAGGGAUGACGGCCUUCGGGUUGUAAACCUCUUUCAGCAUCGACGAAGCGAAAGUGACGGUAGGUGCAGAAGAAGGACCGGCCAACUACGUGCCAGCCGCCGCAGUAA